GAUGAACGCUGGCGGCGUGCCUAAUACAUGCAAGUCGAGCGAACGGACGAGAAGCUUGCUUCUCUGAUGUUAGCGGCGGACGGGUGAGUAACACGUGGAUAACCUACCUAUAAGACUGGGAUAACUUCGGGAAACCGGAGCUAAUACCGGAUAAUAUUUUGAACCGCAUGGUUCAAAAGUGAAAGACGGUCUUGCUGUCACUUAUAGAUGGAUCCGCGCUGCAUUAGCUAGUUGGUAAGGUAACGGCUUACCAAGGCAACGAUGCAUAGCCGACCUGAGAGGGGGAUGGGACAAACGGGACCUGGGACACGGUCCAGACCCCACAGGGAGGCAGCAGUAGGGAAUCUUCCGCAAGGGGGGAAAGCCUGACGGAGCAACGCCGGGGGGGGGAUGAAGGUUUUCGGAUCUAAAACCUCUUUUAUUAGGGAAGAAAAUUUGUGUAAGUAACUGGGCACAUUUUGGCGGUACUUAAUGAGAAAGCCCCGGCGAACUACGU
rnacentral:rRNA from 1 species